rnacentral:lncRNA from 1 species
GCCGAGCCCGAUCCUCACUCUUUUGCUAUGUUCUUCAUUUGCAGUUGCUUGUUCUUGCUCUCAUCUCCGGAUAUUCAUUCAUUUCAUCAUUUCUACACUGUUAUCGGCUUGUUAAAAGGUCACUAGCUUCAUCUUCUCAAUAUUUAGCAGCGUCAUAUGUUAUUUCCUAGUGUUAUGUAUAUUGUUUUUUAUUUUAUAGUUUUUUUUAAGAGGUCACUAGCUUCAUCUUCUCAACAUCAUCGACACGUUUUUUAGAGAAAUAGUGAUACUAUGGCUUUUUUAUUUUAAUUAGUUUAGAAAAAAAAUAAAAACUUAUAAUCCUUUAAUUUGCAAUUUGUGAUCGAGUUAAUUAGUUAAUUAUAACUAGUAUCCAUACCACAUUUCAUGAUUAGUUACAAAAAUAGAGAACUUUUGUGCUAUUUUAAUUUUGCUUGUUUA